AACGAACGCUGGCGGCGUGGAUAAGACAUGCAAGUCGAACGCUAGCUUCAGGGUAGCAAUAUUCUGAAGUUGGAGUGGCGCAAGGGUGCGUAACACGUGGGUAAUCUGCCGUGAAGUUGGGGAUAACUCGCUGAAAGGCGAGCUAAUACCGAAUGUGACUGUCUGAAGGCAUCUUUGGAUAGUUAAAGUUGGGGACCGUAAGGCCUGACGCUUCUCGAUGAGCCCGCGGCCUAUCAGCUAGUUGGUGAGGUAACGGCCCACCAAGGCUAAGACGGGUAGCUGGUCUGAGAGGACGACCAGCCACACUGGAACUGAGACACGGUCCAGACACCUACGGGUGGCAG
rnacentral:rRNA from 1 species